rnacentral:rRNA from 1 species
UACGAAGGGGGCUAGCGUUGCUCGGAAUGACUGGGCGUAAAGGGCGCGUAGGCGGUUUAGACAGUCAGAUGUGAAAUCCCCGGGCUUAACCUGGGAAUGGCAUUUGGGACUGCAAGGCUUGAGUGCGGCAGAGGAGACUGGAAUUCCUGGUGUAGCAGUGAAAUGCGUAGAUAUCAGGAGGAACACCGAUGGCGAAGGCAGGUCUCUGGGCUGACACUGACGCUCAUGCACGAAAGCGUGGGGAGCAAACAGG